UCCACCUGCCAAGAAUAGAAGUUGGAGAGAAAUAUCAGAAAGAGGAGAAAAACAUCCCAAUAAUAAAUAAUCUCAAAGAGAAUACCUCACCACGCUCGUUGAGAUUCCCUGUAAUUUUGUUAAUGUUUUGGGCUUUAGCCACACUGAAGAUACUGGCCCUGAGUAUAUUAGGAUUAUCUCUUUGCACAUGCUCUUUGCUUGCUCUGGAAUCCCCCUUCCUCACAGUCCACCUGGAAAAUUCUUAUUCUUUGUCUUGCAUAGUUGUUCAAAGGUCACCUUGAGUCAUGUUCCCAAGUCAUUAGGUAGAGUGAGGCAUUCUUCCUGGGCAUAUUUCCACUGUACCUUGUACACCUGCCCGGCUCCCCCCACAACCACAGGCUCCAUAGGACAGGGGUACGCCCUUGUUGACUAUUGUACUCCAAUAAUGUAGGUAUACAGUAGGCAAGCACAAAAGUUUAUCAAAAUGACUGAAUUCCUUUCCAUCUGGCUGUUUAUACUCUCCAUUACUUUAUCUCUUUCCAAAGUUAAGUAUUCUAGUGUUUAUAGUUCUUCCUGUGUCUCCUGCAAAAUAUGGCAGCUACAACUAUGAAGGGAUUAAUAAAUUCAUCUUGCCUUGAAAGUGACACACGCUGAAGCCUUUGACAAGUCAGAAAGGAAAUCUAUCAAGCUAGAGAGUUUCAUAAUUAAAACUGCUCUUCUCUUCACCACUUUGGAUAUUUAUGAUGAAGGGAACAAUUAAAGAAAAAAACAGAUGAGGGUCAUGCUUGAUGAAAGUGCUAUAUUUUCCCUGGCCACAAGAUGGAGUAUGUGUUCUUUUUGGUAGUUUAAGGUUUUAGAUCACACAACUAAGGAAACAUUGAAGAACAAUAAAUAACCUUGAAAAACUAAGGAUAUUGUUAUGAAUAAAAAAAUUAUUAAGCCGUUUGCAAAAUAAUUCUUCAAUAACCCCCAUUUUCUAUCUUUGGCAUUUAAUCUGUUAUUGAAUUUCCAAUGCCUGAAGAUAGAAUCACUAUUUAUAUCAGAACACUCCAACUUAGUUUCCUCCUUCCACAGCCCUGAUCCUGUUACUAUUACAGAAGCUUGCUUGGCUUUUGAAUUUUGUCCUGGUAUAGCCCAGUGACCAGGUCAUAGGUGUCCUGACUUUACUCAGAUCUACUUCACCAACUCUGAAGCUGAAUGAAAUACAUGCUUUGGGUUAGCACUUUCCUGAACUCCCCUCCACUUUCAAGUUCACAACUUCUGCAACAUAUAUUAUAAAUGAGUAAUACUAAUUCCUUUACCCCAUGACUCUUUUGUUGUUGUUCAUGAUGACUGAAAAACAUUAUACUCUCCUCUUUCAUUCACCUCUUUAUUUUUUCCCAACCUUUCUCUUGCCCACCAGUGAGACUAUUCAUUCAAAUCAGAGCAGACUCAUCCACAGCUAUGCAUGGUGUACCUCUCUCUAAGGCGAGAUGGAUCUUACGGCAGCUUUAGAGGCAGAAGUUGUGGGCAUGCUGAACUCAACAUUCACGUGACUGGCAAAUCUGGAAGGCACUUCCCGGUCAGAGCCAAGUUCAAGGUGGCAGAAGAAACAGUGUGGGUGACCAGAAGCUAUGAAAGGAAAAGAAUUUAGACAUUAGGUUCUUUGGGGAGGACAUGGAAGAAGAGGCCAAAAGAGCCACUCAAUAGCAAAGGAGGCUCAGCACCAGGCAGUCUUUCCGAGGGUCCAAUGCUGAGCGGAGGACUUACAACAGAAAUCACACUGCCUGUGCCUCAGACCCUUCUGAUUACAGUAGCCUUGUAUCCUAGCAAUAAAACCCACAGCCUGAAAAACCCACUCAGGUCAGGGUGAUAAUGGGAACACAACACAAAUAAUAAGUAAUAGAGGCUGUAAAUUGGCAGGAAGGAAUAAAAGGGAUCAGCACUUAGCACCUAAUAGAGCAUCAAUGACAGCCAUGUGGAGCAAAGUAAUUAAUUCCCUUUGAAAGAUGGAUUUUCUUUUUUUAAUUAAAAAAAAUUUAAUGUUUAUUUUUGAGAGACAGGGAGACAGACAGAGAGACAGAGUGCGAGCAAGGCAUUGGAAGAGAGAGAGGUAGACAUAGAAUCCAAAGCAGGCUCCAGGCUCUGAGAUGUCAGCACAGAGCCCAACGCGAAGCUCGAACCCACAAACCGCGAGAUCAUGACCUGAGCCAAAGUUGUAGACUUAACUAACUGAACCACCUAGGCACCCAGAAGAUGAAUUUUCUUAAUCAUCUUAAUCAUCUCAUAUUUUUACAAAGAUGCUUUUGGAAUGUCUCUGUGGGUACAUGGCACACGUAAAUGAUGAAGCCCUUAGAAACAACAGCUUUGCAUUAAGGAAGCACAUGGUAUGCUGGGUAGAACACAGGCCAACAGGACACCGAGUAUGAUUUCUAGCUCUCCUGCUAAGUGUCAGAAAUCUUGCACCCACAUCCUUGUUCUCUCCAGCUUCAAGUCCUGAUUUGGGAAGUGGGGAAAUGGAGGUAGGUCAAUGCAAGGCACAGUCCUUUCCUGUUCUUUAAUUCUACAAAUCUAUGGUUCCUUCUACUGUACGUGGCUGAAAAACUUGAGGACCAUUGUUAGCUAUCUGAGUGAAAAGAGAGCUUAGUUCUGUGACUAUAACCUUUGAAGCAUCGUUGUUUGUUGAGCAUCCUUUACUGUCCCAGCUGCUGUGUGCACACCCUCUCCCCACAUCUUCAUAACAAUCCCUUGAGGUCACAGCCAUUCCAGUCUACAGAUGAGGCAACCAAGGCUUCGGGGAGGUAAAGCGAGCCGCCCAGUCAGAACUGCAAAGUGGCAGAAUGAGAACUGAACCCAAGCAGUCAGUCUCCAAAGUGCUUUAGCCACUUUGUCUGAGUCACAGCCACCCUCAUGGUCUCCCAUCUCAAGACCAGGUUUUGCAGGGUGACAUGAGUAGAGAAGUGAGCUGUAAGAACCCCCAUACAACAACUCACCAUGGAUAAACAACGUGACACAGCUUUGACUUUGUUAUGUAACAGCAAGAGUCCUAAGUUAUCUGAGCUUCCCCAAAUAAACAAUUUCAAUUUUC